GUUGACUAUAAUUCACUUUGACCUUUUUGACGAACUACUGUCCUUGGGCAACGUGAGUUUUCUUGCUGUAAAGAGGAGCCUACGUAUGCGGCACCUUUCAAUGUAUUUAAGUGUUUGCAAGGCUCAAUAAAUAACUACGGUAAAAGUGUUUUUCCGUGGGGUUUUGUACAUCUGUCAAACCGGUUCGUCAUAUUGAAAAAUCGUAGCAUUGCGCAGUAACAGGUUUGAUAAGAUGUCUGGGAACUGUAGGCCCUUGCUGUUAGCGUUAAGUCGCUCUGUGGUGGGGAGACAGGUCUCCAGGAGCGUUUUGUCGCAGAGUAGUGCCGCAGGGACCAGAACAGUAGCGGAGAGAUGUGGCCGUCCGCGGUUCCAUCACCAUUGGACCGCCGCACUGAAACCCCGGUAUCACAGCCUCUCCGCAGUGCAGUCCCAACUCGGGCUACACUCUGAGUCAGGAGCCCCCUUCAAAGAUGAUGACUACCCACCUCUACCAGACUACAACUCUGACCCAGGACCGGAGAAGAAGGAGGUGUUUAUCAUCAGAGCGAAAGGACUUCCAUGGUCCUGUACCACAGACGAUCUCAUUCAGUUCUUCUCUGAGUGCCGUGUGCGUGACGGUGUGAAGGGGAUCCACCUGACGGUGAACCGGGAUGGGAAGCCCAACGGCCAGGCCUUUAUAGAGCUGGAGCAUGAAGAGGACGUCAGCAAGGCCCUGGAGAAACACAGACAGUACCUCGGACCACGCUAUAUAGAAGUGUUUGAGGUGACCAACAGCGAUGCGGAGGCCAUUUUGAAGAAGUCAGUUCAGCUCCCAGCCAGAGACGGAGUGGUACGGAUCAGAGGUCUACCCUACAGCUGCACCGAGACUGACGUCAUGCUCUUCUUCUCUGGUCUGGAUGUGAUGGAGGACGGUGUGACUCUAGUGACAGACCACAGAGGAAGGAACUCAGGGGAGGCCUAUGUCCAGUUCCUGUCCCAGGAGCAGGCUGACGAGGCCCUGACCAGAGACAGAGAGGUCAUCGGAAACCGGUACAUCGAGGUGUUCCCCAGUAGGAGGAGUGAGAUCGGAGGUCGGAAGAAGACAGAGUCUGUUGAAGAGGGCAGAAACUCCAGACAGAGUCAACCACACAGGCCUGCAGCACAGCCUCCUAGACAUGGUGAGACAGACAGACCUGCAGCACAGCCUCCUAGACAUGGGUCUCAUCCGGUAUCUUCUCUGCCCCAACACUUUGUUCACAUGAGAGGACUGCCCUUCCAAGCCACAGGAAAUGACAUCGUUCAGUUCUUCUCUCCUCUAGCGCUGUCCAGGAUUCUGGUGGAGUUCGGUCCAGACGGGAGGGCCAGUGGAGAGGCUGAUGUUUACUUCACAUCGCACCAGGACGCCGUCUCAGCCAUGACCCGGGACAAGGCACACAUGCAAGAGCGAUACAUAGAGCUGUUCCUGAAUUCAACAUCAUCUGACGAGGGGCAAUGAGGUUUACCAGGUUAGCGGUGGGCUGAGAGAUGACAUCGGGAGGUGUGGUGGUGAAAAUCCCCAUCGACUGGAUGUGUCACCAUUUAAGAGCGAUACAUAGAGCUGUUCCUGAAUUCAACAUCAUCUGACGAGGGGCAAUGAGGUUUACCAGGUUGGUCUGAAUUCAACAUCAUCAGACGAGGGCCAAUGAGGUUUACCAGGUUGGUCUGAAUUCAACAUCAUCAGACGAGGGGCAAUGAGGUUUACCAGGUUAGCGGUGGGCUGAGAGAUGACAUCGGGAGGUGUGGUGGUGAAAAUCCCCAUCGACUGGAUGUGUCACCAUUUGUAAGGGUGUAGAAAUGAUGUUGAAUAUAAUAAAACUACGUUCAAUCUGA